rnacentral:rRNA from 1 species
CCCCAAGGACGAAGCCAUGCAUGCCCGCUCACCCGGGACGCGGCGGACGGCUCAGGACAACGGUUGCACCCCCCGCGGCGGUCCCUGCUAGCCGGACACCGCUGGCAACCCGGCGCCAAGACGUG